GGGGGCGACCUGGUUUCGACGUGGUCGGUUCUCCGGCAGAGCUGCAAGCCGAGGUCCCCGGUCGGCCUCGUAAAACAACCGGGACACAAAGCAAGUGCGAAG
rnacentral:tmRNA from 1 species